CAGCAGCCGCGGUAAUUCCAGCUCCAAUAGCGUAUAUUAAAGUUGUUGCAGUUAAAAAGCUCGUAGUUGAAUUUCGGGGUCAGUAGUUUGGUCAUGCCACAGGUAUGUACUGAUCUUACUGAUUCCUCCUUCCUGAUGAACCGUAAUGCCAUUAAUUUGGUGUUGCGGGGAGACUGGACUGUUACUUUGAAAAAAUUAGAGUGUUUAAAGCAGGCUAACGCUUGAAUACAUUAGCAUGGAAUAAUGAAAUAGGACGUUCGAUCCUAUUUUGUUGGUUUCUAGGAUUGACGUAAUGAUUAAUAGGGAUAGUUGGGGGCAUUAGUAUUCAAUUGUCAGAGGUGAAAUUCUUGGAUUUAUUGAAGACUAACUACUGCGAAAGCAUUUGCCAAGGAUGUUUUCAUUAAUCAAGAACGAAAGUUAGGGGAUCGAAGACGAUCAGAUACCGUCGUAGUCUUAACCAUAAACUAUGCCGACUAGGGAUCGGAUGAUGUUAAUUUUAUAAUGACUCAUUCGGCGCCUUACG
rnacentral:rRNA from 1 species